rnacentral:rRNA from 1 species
GUUUGAUCAUGGCUCAGAACGAACGCUGGCGGCAGGCUUAACACAUGCAAGUCGAACGCCCGUAGCAAUACGGGAGUGGCAGACGGGUGAGUAACGCGUGGGAAUCUUCCCAAAGGUACGGAACAACUCAGGGAAACUUGAGCUAAUACCGUAUGUGCCCGAGAGGGCAAAGAUUUAUCGCCUUUGGAUGAGCCCGCGUUGGAUUAGCUAGUUGGUGGGGUAACGGCCUACCAAGGCGACGAUCCAUAGCUGAUCUGAGAGGAUGAUCAGCCACACUGGGACUGAGACACGGCCCAGACUCCUACGGAGGCAGCAGUGGGGAAUCUUGGACCAUGGGCGAAAGCCUGAUCCAGCCAUGCCGCGUGAGUGAAGAAGCCUUAGGGUUGUAAAGCUCUUUUGCCCGG